rnacentral:misc_RNA from 1 species
AACCUAGCACACCUGCGGUGUGUACCUGCGGAGGGAUCAUUACCGAGUAUCUUUCUGGAAACAGAAAGUCUCCCACCCUUGUGUAUCAAUAUCUGUUUACUUCGGCGAGACGUCUACUUUGGUAGCCGUUGGCCAUAAUGCGAGCGAGUGCUCGCCGAAGGUUCUUUAACUCUAAGUCUUUGUGGAGUCUAUAUUUACAUGAAAUAAAUAAAAACUUUCAACAAUGGAUCUCAGAUCGGA